AUUUCUCACAAGCUUAUAAGACUAGCCACAGCUGUGAUUUUAUCCAGUGUAUUUCAAAACCUGACAGAAGUCAAAAGCAUCAACAAGAUAUUGGGCUGAUACUCUGGGCUGGGAAACAAAAUACCAUUCACAUCAAUUAACUUUAGUUCCUAUCUUUAAUGCCAUCACAGUGCCCUAGUGCAGUCUAAUAUUGGCUGUUGCGUCUGUCCCUUCAUUUGUGAGUAAUUUUUCUAUCUGUAUCAGCCUGGGUGUGCCUUCCUGCUUGUCUGGUUGCCCUUGGGUGUGCCUGUCUUUCCUCCUUCAGAUUGAAUUUUCCUUAGCAUAUGACAAAAAGAGUACAUUUGCAUUGCUCACUUACUAAGAUAUGUAUAUGGAGCUCUGGAUCACAUGCAUGAAAAAUAAAAAGAGAAAUGCACUGCAGUAACAGUCCUCUGGUUCGACCAUAUCUGCACCUGAUCACACCUACAGGAUGAAAAACCAUUUAGACAGAUGACUAAGGGCAAGAUACUGCUCCCCCUGAAGCUAACAAGGCCCUGAAGAUGAGGCUCCUGGGUGCUUGGAGGUGGAGAGCUGGAGCUGCCACUCGAUCUAGCAUUGGAAUCAGGAGGUCAUCAUAAGAGAUUAAGGUAUCAGGAAUCAGGGCUUGCUGCCCUUCCAAGAGUACACCAGGAUUCUAGUAGUAGUUGAUCUCCUGAUGAAGAUGGCACAUUUUAUACCAUGUUGCGGCCUCUCCACCACCCAGGAAAUAGCCUGUCUAUUCAAAGACAACAUCUUUCACCUUCAUGGGUUGUCCACAAGCAUAGUAUCCAACUGGGAGUCCCCGUUCAUUUCUUGCUUUUUGUGGGAAUUUCUGCAUCUUUUUGGCAUCAAACCUCGUACCUCAACUGUUGAGUGAGUCAAUCAAGUCCUGAAGCAGGACCUAGGCUGCUUACUAAACUACCAGGACGAUUGGCUGGAACUCAUUCCCCACACCGAAUUCGCCUACAACUCCACACAUGCCCCGAAUCAACAGACCCUUUUCUUCACAAAUUAUGGGCUCCACUCUUGGUAUCAGCUCAAAAUCUUCCUCAACAUUCACCAAGUACACAGGGCUGCCUAUGGCCUGGUUGUCUACAGAAUUUGUAUAGUUGGGGGUGCUGAGAGCACUUGACUCAAGCUGUAAACUCUGUAUAUAAUGGAAACCACUUCAAGCCAGGGGGUGCAGCGGCACACCUAGUUCCAGCACCUAUGCAAGUGCAUCAAGGACUCAGGCACCAGUUAGAAGAGACUAAGACAACAUACAAAUACCAUGCUGACACUCACCAUCAGACGACCCCCAACUUCACAGUAAAUGACAGGGUUUCGCUUGUGCAUCCAUGAAGCUGGGCCACAAGUACUAAGGCCAUUUGCAAUCACAGAACAUAACUCAGUAAAAUUUUGAUUGCAGCUGCCAGAAUCCCUUAAGAGUCACCCUGUGUUCCACAUCUCUCUCUUGAAAUCUUUUGUUGAAAAUCCCUUCCCGCACUGCUCUACUCCUUCCCUGCCGAUAACCAUGCAGGACCAAGAGGAAUACAUGAUCCAGCAGAUUCUGGACUCCUGCCGAGUCCAGGGAAGACUCCAAUAUCUAAUUGACUGGGAUGGCUAUGACCUGGAGGAGCGGCCAUGGGAACAUGUGGAACACGCUCAUGUCCUGAACCUCCUGCUUGCCUUCCAUUGGGCCUUCCCCGAGAAACCCAGCCCAAGUGCUCCUGGAGAGCAACCCCAAAAGGAGAGAGGUGCUGUCAGGGCCAGACCAGCUAGGAUCAGCUGUUGGCCUUCUCCUUGAAUAACAUCACUAUAGGCAACCAAUGAGCCCCACUGCACUGCCUUGGAAUUGACAGAAUAGCCACAGCACCUCAUUGGCUGUUUGUUUAGCAGCCCUGCUUACAGGCCUGGCAUCCACAGGAGAUCAAUGGCUGCUGAAUGUGAACCACACCCACAGCUGUGCUUGCCUGGCUCUUGCUUUCAGCCCUUGCUCCAGCCUACCUCCACUCCUUGGUCCUGCCUGGUUCCUGUCUUGCUCCUGCCUUGUUCUUGAACCUUCUUCUGCUCCACCUACCACCUGCACAGGCUUCUGACCUCUGGGUUUGAUCCUCAGCUCCACCUCUGGCUUAUGACUCUGGUUUACCGUACAUCUCUGACAUUUGGCUUCUGUGCCUGUGGUACUGAUCCUCAGCUCAUUCCUGGACUCCAGGGCCAUCCUUACCCAUACACAAAGUAUGCAGCUGCGUAGGGCACCAGGAAAUUUGGGGCAGCCCCUCCCGCCCUGCUUUCCGCCCACGGAGGCCUGGGGCUCCACCAUAGGGCACCAAAAUAGCUAGAGAUGGCCAUGCUGGAUUCUAACCACCCUGGACCCAGCUCUAACCUGUAGACUGAACUCUCAUUUCAACCGUUAGGCCUGACUGCCUAUGGCCUGGUUGUCUACAGAAAUAUGAUCUAGAUUAAAUUACUAUAAGAUAGGUGCAUAUCUGGUUGAAAGACUGUACUCAAAGAGCAGUUAUCAGUCUUAGAAUUGAAGGACUGGAAGGGACCUCGAGAAGUCAU